rnacentral:lncRNA from 1 species
GCAAAUGAAAAUCUUGAAAAUUUUUCUUCAUUUUCUGAAGAUUUUCGCCAUUGACAGACGUCAUUUCGCCACGCCAUCUAGCGGCCGAUUUUGGAAACAGCAAGGGAGAUCUUUUCUUCUCGCCAUUACUUUUUUUUCAAACUCCAACUAUCGAUACCUAACCAAACCCAGCUGUAGUACAUCGAUACCAUUCUUUUCUCAAUCAUUCCGCGCAGUCACUGUCUAAACAACAACAACAAGGUUGAAAUGUCCUCGCAAGAAGAUUAUUCCGAUUACUGUUGCACAUAUUGGUGUUUUCAACGUUUUAUGAUGGCAUUCCUUAAUUCCUAUCUUGCAUGUUGACUAGGUCUGUCUCAUUACUACGGAUUUGUUUUAGACGUCACUGGUAUGAAGUCACUGCUCUCUGCUUCGCUGGGAUUUGUUUUAGACGUCACUGGUAUGAAGUCACUGGUAUGGAGUCUCUGAUCUCUGCUUCACUGGGAUUUGUUUUAGACGUCACUGGUAUGAAGUCACUGGUAUGGAGUCUCUGGUUUGUUGACUAGCUCUCUGCUUCACUGGGAUUUCUUUUGAUGGCAAUGGCCCAGGUCCUGCAAGUGCCAUGCAAUUUCUUCUGACUAUUACAAUCAGUUGCCGCCAAGGAAAUUUCUGCUGCUUCGCCACACAAAAUAUUGGAAAUGAAAGUAAACAUUUCUUUGUAAACUUGGAAUACUCUCGUUUUCAUGGAUUUAGCUUGUGGUGAGUUAUCCAUCCAUGUGGUUACACAAUAACGCUUUGCCUUAGCAGGCAAAUGCCGUAUAAUUGGAGAAUUUGGAUCCAUACCUAAUGCUGUGUACAUGCCGCGCGGAUUUUUGGAAAAAUCUGUGCCGGUAUUCACAUUUUCACACACCUGUCUAUGCUGCCCCAGUUGGACUUCAUUUCUUCGCCGUUUACUUGAAGACGGCACAUCACUUUGUACUGCAUCUUGACACUCACAAUUACACCGUCUGCAAUUAUUGCAACUAUCGCAAACUGCUGAUUUACAUUUACACGAGAGGCCUGCCAUUUCUCUACUCCACUUGGAUAAGCAUGCCUGGCAACUAACUUUACUUUUGGUUUUUAUUACCAUCCCUCUUUAGCUUAGCUUUUUGGUCAAGUGUAAAGUCACAGGAUGGGUAACGUGAAACAAAGGAAAUGAAAGGGUAAGGGUAAGAAACGGAAGAAAAAACCAAAAGAAAAAUUAUCGGUUGUCCCAGUGGGACCAACUUCCAUGGAUCUUGUAAACUUUCAAGCACCAACUCGACAUGAUCAGUUUACAUUACCGGAAAAAUCUUAUUUCAUAAAACAAUUACGUCCCAUUAAUAUGCAUUUCUUAAUUAGUUCGAAUGAAAGGUGAAAAUAUGAAAUCCGGCAUCCGUACACGACAUUCCAGUAAAGCUCCCGUAGCAAAUCCUCUCAGAAAUCUAUCCAUUUGACUUCCGUCACAUGCGCCCGGCUCUGCCAAGUCAGCCAAGAAACCCACUACAAGGAUCGCCAUCGCAUUACUACUGAAUAUCGUGAAGUGUGUCGCCUCUUGACACGCAAGCCCCCUCAAAACGAUUCAGGAAAUGAAGGUCACAGACUUUGGCAACUACUAAAGACGAUAAUUCAAAUAUUAUAAAACAACAAUUUCAUUUCUUGGUGUGUAUUAAGUUGCUAAUACAUUUCAGUGUUAGCCUUG